rnacentral:rRNA from 1 species
UACGAAAGGGGUGCAAGCGUUAUCCGGAUUCAUUGGGUUUAAAGGGUGCGUAGGCGGGGCAAUAAGUCAGUGGUGAAAUCUUGCGGCUUAACCGUAAAAUUGCCAUUGAUACUGUUGCUCUUGAGUAGGCUCGACGGUGGGCGGAAUGUGCCGUGUAGCGGUGAAAUGCUUAGAUAUGGCACAGAACACCGAUAGUGAAGACAGCU